rnacentral:lncRNA from 1 species
GGAGAGACAGAGACGGAGACGGAGUGGAUGAUGAAUAUGCCGUUCGAGAGGAUUUGGUUUUUCUAAUGGGGACGGACUCUUGGGUUGCCCGCAUUUAACAGCGCCGAAUCCCGAGGGCCUCAUAACCGUCGGUUUGAAAUUCAAAUGGAGGGGGGGAUUUCUGCCACGUCACCCCGUCCGCAAUUAAAUGCGACAUGACUCUUGGCAGCCUUUUCCAAUCCC